rnacentral:miRNA from 14 species
AGCAUCCUCCCCGGGGUUUGAAUUUGCAGUAACAGGUGUGAGCAUCUUAGCAGUUUGGUGGUCAUGUAUGAUACUGCAAACAGGA